rnacentral:rRNA from 1 species
ACUGUUUACCAAAAACAUAGCCCUCGGCUAAUAUGAAAAUAGAUGUAUAGAGGGUGAUGCCUGCCCAAUGGUUGUAUCUAAAAGCGGUUGAUAAAAGUCGACCUCGUAAGGACAAUUGAAUGGCCGCGGUAACACUGACCGUGAUAAUGUAGCGUAAUCAAUAGCCAAUUAAUUGUUGGCCAGUAUGAAUGGCGCCACGAAGGCCCCACUGUCUUAAGGAAAUUCCCAGUGAAAUUGAAUUCGUAGUGAAGAUGCUACGUGCAAUUUGUUAGACGAAAAGACCCCGUUGAGCUUUACUGGAGCACUUACAUGGCCCUGGCCUUCCCAUGCUUGGGAAUCGGCCGAAUUUAAAUGGGCGGCUUAGAUUAUGUGGCAGCCCCCCGCUGGGGCAAAUGAAACCCCACUCCCCCAUGUCAAAGGGGCUAACCCCCCCCCUUGGGGGGAC